UACAGAGGGUGCGAGCGUUAAUCGGAAUUACUGGGCGUAAAGCGCACGUAGGUGGCGACGUAAGUCGGGUGUGAAAGCCCCGGGCUCAACCUGGGAAUUGCAUUCGAGACUGCAUUGCUGGAGUACGGAAGAGGAAGGCGGAAUUCCCGGUGUAGCGGUGAAAUGCGUAGAUAUCGGGAGGAACAUCAGCGGCGAAGGCGGCGCGUCUGGGCUGGAACUGACGCUGAGGAGCGAAAGCGUGGGGAGCGAACAGG
rnacentral:rRNA from 1 species